rnacentral:tRNA from 1 species
CCUCCCGUAGUUCAAUGGAUAGAACAAGAGACUUCUAAUCUCUAAAUGUAGGUUCGAUUCCUACCGGGAGGA